GAUAAACGCUGGCGGCGUGCCUAACACAUGCAAGUCGAACGUCCUUUCGCGCAAGCGAGAGGGAGUGGCGGACGGGUGAGUACCACGUGGGUACCUACCCCAAGAUGAGGAAUACCUCCGAGAAAUCGGGGACAACACCGCAUACGCUUCUUCACGGAAGCAAAGCUCGCAAGGGCGUCUUGGGAUGGGCCUGCGCCUGAUUAGCUGGUUGGUGGGGUAAGAGCCUACCAAGGCGACGAUCAGUAGCUGGUCUGAGAGGAUGAUCAGCCACACUGGG
rnacentral:rRNA from 1 species